rnacentral:rRNA from 1 species
GACGAACGCUGGCGGCGUGCUUAACACAUGCAAGUCGAACGGAAAGGCCCUGCUUUUGUGGGGUGCUCGAGUGGCGAACGGGUGAGUAACACGUGAGUAACCUGCCCUUGACUUUGGGAUAACUUCAGGAAACUGGGGCUAAUACCGGAUAGGAGCUCCUGCUGCAUGGUGGGGGUUGGAAAGUUUCGGCGGUUGGGGAUGGACUCGCGGCUUAUCAGCUUGUUGGUGGGGUAGUGGCUUACCAAGGCUUUGACGGGUAGCCGGCCUGAGAGGGUGACCGGCCACAUUGGGACUGAGAUACGGCCAAGACUCCUACGGGAGGCAGCAGUGGGGAAUAUUGCACAAGGGGCGGAAGCCUGAUGCAGCAACGCCGCGUGCGGGAUGACGGCCUUCGGGUUGUAAACCGCUUUCGCCUGUGACGAAGCGUGAGUGACGGUAAUGGGUAAAGAAGCACCGGCGAACUACGU